UACGUAGGGGGCGAGCGUUGUCCGGAGUUACUGGGCGUAAAGCGCACGCAGGCGGUCUGCUAAGUUUGGAGUGACAGUUGGUGGCUUAACUGCCAAAGUGCUUCGAAAACUGACAGACUUGAGGGCUUCAGAGGGACACGGAAUUCCGGGUGGAGUGGUGAAAUGCGUAGAGAUCCGGAGGAACACCAAAGGCGAAGGCAGUGUCCUGGGGAGUACCAGACGCUCAGGUGCGAAAGCCAGGGGAGCGAACGGG
rnacentral:rRNA from 1 species